rnacentral:lncRNA from 1 species
UUACUUCAAUUAAGCAUUGCAAUUUGCAACUGUUAUAUAUCAUUCCUGUUUAAUUUGGUAAGUUUAGGACCUUGUUUAAUUCGUUUGUUGAAUAUGAAUUGAAUUUUUAGCUCUUUGAUUUUAAUACUUACUAGGAUGGUAUGGUAUAGUCUUUCACUAAGUCAUACAAGGAGUUAUUAGUCUUACCAAAAUUAUAAAAAAAGGAUUUGAUAAGUUUAAUAUUAUAAAUCAGUGAUGUAUUUGCAUGUAUAUUAGGAUAGUUAUCAAUAGAGAUAAAGGGUCUGCUCAAGUUAAAUUCUUUUCGCAAGUAUUUUCAUAGAAGAAAAUCAUUUUUUGUUAGUCUAUUUUUCACAUAUUACAUUCCUUUCAUAGAAAUUGAUACCUGUUGUUCUAAAUUUAUUUAGUUAAACAGACUAAUGAUUUAAGGAUCAGAUAAGUUGCUCUCCUUUUAGUAUUAGAAAUUGUUUGAUACAUUGUUUUAAAUUAUGUUUUGAUUGUUGUACAUUCAAGAAGAAAAGACCAACAGAUCUAUAUAAAUUUAUAAAUUUUGUAUUCAUUGUUUUGAUCUGAUCAAUUAUUGAUGUCCUUGGCUGACAUAUAGGCCGACAUAAAUAUUUGAGUGCUUCUGUCUAAAUCUAUGUUCCAACCUACUAAUAAGUAAUACAGGCUCUUGUUGGAUAUUUUUUUUUCUCCUUCAAAGACAUUACCACAAUCCAACAAUAAAAAUGACAAAGAUAGUGGCGAUGAUGAGGUUUGUAGUAAUCAUAAUAAGUAGUAUUUAUUUUGAUAUUUUUAAUUUGGUUGUAUUAUGUAUUUGUUUAUAUUUAGUUUUUAUUUUCG